rnacentral:misc_RNA from 1 species
UUUCCGUAGGUGAACCUGCGGAAGGAUCAUUACCGAGAUAGGGUCCCUUUCAGGGCCCGACCUCCAACCCAUUGUCUACUAUACCUCUGUUGCCUCGGCGGGCCGCCGGUUUCACACCGCCGUCGGUCCUUACGGGCUUUCGAGCGCCCGCCGAUGGAAAACCAUAAACUCUUUUUUUAAACCAGUAUUCUGAGUGAGAAAUCAAUAGCAUUAAAACUUUUAACAACGGAUCUCUUGGUUCUGGCAUCGAUGAAGAACGCAGC